rnacentral:tRNA from 2 species
GGGCCGGUAGCUCAGUCAGGCAGAGCGUCUGGCUUUUAACCAGAUGGACGGGGGUUCAAAUCCCUCUCGGCCCG